rnacentral:rRNA from 1 species
AACGAACGCUGGCGGCAGGCUUAACACAUGCAAGUCGAACGCAUCGCAAGAUGAGUGGCAGACGGGUGAGUAACGCGUGCGAACGUACCCUUUACUACGGAAUAGCUCCGGGAAACUGGAAUUAAUACCGUAUGUGCCCUUCGGGGGAAAGAUUUAUCGGGAAAGGAUCGGCCCGCGUUGGAUUAGCUAGUUGGUGGGGUAAAGGCCUACCAAGGCGACGAUCCAUAGCUGGUCUGAGAGGAUGAUCAGCCACAUUGGGACUGAGACACGGCCCAAACUCCUAUGGGAGGCAGCAGUGGGGAAUAUUGGACAAUGGGCGCAAGCCUGAUCCAGCCAUGCCGCGUGAGUGAUGAAGGUCUUAGGAUUGUAAAGCUCUUUCACCGGGGAAGAUAAUGACGGUACCCGGAGAAGAAGCCCCGGCUAACUUCGUGCCAGCCGCCGCCGUAAUAC